AUAAAAGUGAUCCAUUUGAGCUUCUUGAUGGAUAUAAAUUCUCAACUCUAAUAUAUGACCAUUGAUUACGCGCAGGACGGCUAUGCAUGAUUCAAACCGAUACUUUUCCUACUUUCAAGAUGCUAAAAAUCAUUGGCAUGAAGAAGACAUUGGCAGUUGAUAAUGUUGAAAGAUUGCAGAGUGAGAAAGAAAAAGAAAAAGAAUGGAAGGAGAGAGGAUGAAAAGUGGACAUGGUUGAUCGAUCUUUCCACGAAAAUAUUUCGAAGAAAGACUGUUGUCGAGGGUGGAUUUUCGUACGUACACAUCGAAGCAUCAACCGUGUGACAAGCGUGGCUUGAUGCGAACUGAAUUUCCCACGUGGCCGGCAGACACCAACGCAAUUUUAUCACCAUUCAUUGUACGUAUCACGGUGUCAUUGAUACGAAAUACACGCCACUAUUGUUCGCGCGAAAAAUCGCCCGAAUGACGGAUACAAUGAACAUUACACCGUUUAUUGCAUCGAUUUUAAUCGUUUUAACGAAUUUCGAUACCGUCAUUCGUGUUAUUCUUCCUUGUAAUUGAUUUUCUACAAACGAAAAAUAGAACUUUUUUUUUCUUUUUACGAAGAUUUGUCACGAUAAAUCUAAAAAUGAAAGAUGAACAAUUUGGUGAUCUUCAUAAUUUUAGCUUUUUUCAGCAUAUAGUUUAUUAUACGAAAAAUGUAAAUAGAAAAUGACAUUGUACUUUUUAAUGUUAAAUAUUAAAAGUUAUAUGAUAUAAUAA